rnacentral:rRNA from 1 species
UACGAAGGGGGCUAGCGUUGCUCGGAUUGACUGGGCGUAAAGGGCGCGUAGGCGGUUCGUACAGUCAGACGUGAAAUUCCUGGGCUCAACCUGGGGGCUGCGUUUGAUACGUGCGGACUUGAGUGCGGAAGAGGGUCGUGGAAUUCCCAGUGUAGAGGUGAAAUUCGUAGAUAUUGGGAAGAACACCGGUGGCGAAGGCGGCGACCUGGUCCGAUACUGACGCUGAGGCGCGAAAGCGUGAGGAGCAAACAGG